rnacentral:rRNA from 1 species
GACGAACGCUGGCGGCGUGCUUAACACAUGCAAGUGGAGCGACGAACCAGGGCUUGCCCUGGGGCAGAGCCGCGAACGGGUGAGUAACACGUGGGUAACGUGCCCCGAUGACUGGGACAACCCGGGGAAACCCGGGCUAAUACCGGAUGUGCCCCCUCACAUCAGUGAGGUGUGUAAAGGAAGCUUCGGCCUCCGCAUCGGGAUCGGCCCGCGGCCCAUUAGCUUGUUGGUGAGGUAACGGCUCACCAAGGCUGCGAUGGGUAGCUGGUCUGAGAGGACGAUCAGCCACACUGGGACUGAGACACGGCCCAGACUCCUACGGGAGGCAGCAGUGGGGAAUCUCGCGCAAUGCGCGAAAGCGUGACGCAGCAACGCCGCGUGGGGGAAGACGGCCUUCGGGUUGUAAACCCCUUUCAGUUGGGACGAAGGUCGGGCGGUUAACAGCCGUUCCGGCUGACGGUACCUUCACAAGAAGCCCCGGCUAACUACGUG